rfam:Anisakis simplex genome assembly, scaffold: ASIM_scaffold0000894
AAAAUGGCUUUUCCCAAAGCCAAAAAUUUUUCGAACAAAUUUUUU